rfam:Schistosoma mattheei strain Denwood, Zambia genome assembly, scaffold: SMTD_scaffold0002201
AUCUAGCUGGCGAAUCCCAAAUGGGACGAAACGCGCGUCCCGGAU